CCAACCCUAAUUUCUUCUUCUUCACUCGCGCUGCAACCAUUUCAUGUUUAGAAAAAAUGUUGAGCAAUUCAGCCUCCUUCAAUUCCACCACCAAACCUAUUCUUCUUUCUCUUUCACUACAACCCUCACUAAAUUAGUGUUUUGAUCAUGAUUCACUCCCGUCGAGCCCUCAUUCUUCCUCGGUGGAGCCUUGGUUCUCUUUCGUUGAGCUUUUGUAGGUCGCGCAUUGAAACCCUAAUUUUCCCUCAUUCAAACCAUCAUUGUGUGCCAUUGGUACCGUGGUUAAUAGGUAAGUAAUAUUUAAUUCUGUUUGAGCUAAUUUUUUCAAUUUCAAAAACCCUAAUCCUCUUUCUAUUUUUUUCUGGGCAUAAAAUUGGUGUGCGAUGAAUAUGGGUGCCUUCAUUCCGGGGUCUGAGAAGGAAAUAUCCAUUACAUGAAUAUGUAUCUACAAUACUUCUUGUAGUUGGUCUGAUCCUAUUCGCACUAGCAGAUGCACGGACAUCACCAAAUUUGAGUGUCGUUGGUGUUGUUAUGAUUUCUGGAGCAUUGGUCAUGUAAUAGUUUAAGCCUCAUAGGAACCAUAAAUAUAUAUAAUAGAUUAUGUUUAAAUUUCUAGUACUUUUCUCUUGGAAAACACAGAUGGAGAUGCUCUUUUGCUCAACAAUGGUGGGUUUGCCUUUCUUAAUCCCACCCAUGCUUUUCAUAGGAGAAUUAUUCAAAGCAUGGACCUCGUGUUCACAGGUAAUUUUGGAAUAAAAACUACCCUUUUCCACACUAGUAACAUGUUAUGCUUUUUUUUAAGCAUAACCACUGGAGAUUAAGAGUUGUGGAAUCUGCCAAAUUCUGCAGGGGAAAAUGAUGAAAGGAGGCCCUUGUUGAAGCAUGGUGAAGCAGUAGAUAUUCCAAAGUAUGAUUUUAUGACUUACAAAAGUGAUGUGUUAAAAAGGGAUAAAAGAUGAAGUGGGUUUCAUGGGGUUAUGGGAAUGAUUGCUUGGUAUAAGAAGUUUGCUAGUCUUUUGAUUCAUUGUAGAGGGAAGGAGAAUUCAUGCAGGCCGUGUGGAGCCCCCUGAUGCAAAAUUAAUUGUUAUUUUUUUGAAUCUCUUUGGAGAUGUUCAAUCAAUCAAGAGAGUAGAGGAUAUGCAUGCCAAAUUGUUUUUGCCACACAGAAGCAUGUCGGAGUUGAAGAAACGUCAUGUUGAGGAUUUCUUAUCUUCAGACAAAGUUAAAACGUCAAGAACUUAUUCUGCUCAAUCACCAGCCCAAUCCAUGAUUGGUGCGUAUCCAAAUGCACAAAACCAAUGGACUAAUUAUGGAGUACAACCUGAAACUUGGCCUUCGGUUACACAAGCACAGGGGCAACAGUGGACUGCUGGCUACGUCCGGUAGGCUUCUUACGGGGCUUAUGUUGGAUAUGGCGGCAAUUAUGCAAAUUCUCAAUUGCCUACAACAGUUCCACCUUGUACUGCAUACGGGGCCUAUCCUCUUUCUUAUAGUUAGUUAAUUGAAUCCAGUUAUUUUCUUUGUAUCUAUUACAAUGGAAUUUUCAAUUGAUCCAUUUGUAUUUUGAACCUUUUAUAUUUUCUUCUAGGCAAUUAUUAUUUAUUCUGCUCUUUAUCUUUCAAUGGUGUUGUUGGUGAAUCAACAUGAAAGGUUAAAUUGUGCACAAAGUUAGAUUCUCCUCUGUAGUACAUACAACUUACCCAUGAAGAAAUAUUUGAUUAGAUUGUGUAUA